GGCUGCGGGGCCCGGGCCUGGGCUGCGGGGCCCGGGCCUGGGCUGCGGGGCCCGGGCCUGGGCUGCGGGGCCCGGGCCUGGGCUGCGGGGCCCGGCGGCUGCCGUUCGGGCGGCCCGCAGCAGGUGGUGCUGCCGCCUCGCUGCUCGCCGGCCCCAGCCCGGCUGCAGGGCGGGGACGGCCCCGCUCUGUCAGACAGGGGACGGGAGGCGCCUCUCCUGGGCACCGCCACCGGGGCGGGCUCCCGGCCGCUCGGGUGCCCUCGGGUCAGGCCGUGAGCUGAAGGCGGCCGCAGCCUCCCUGCGGCCGGCCGUGGGUUAUUUUGCCAAGCUCGAGAGGAAAGAGUCAGAACGGCCGUAUGAUUUUUCACAGAGCCUUGCUGAAGUGCAAGGAGUCAGCACAAAUUCAUGAACAGGAGAUGUGCUGCAGGAGCACGUGGAGCUCAGAGGUCUGGUGCCUCCUCUGGGAGAUUCUCCAGACCUCCUUGGCAAGCAUCCUUGUAACUCAAGCAUCAUCUCAAGGCCUCCUUGUUGCAGUAUUACCCUGUAUUUCUUGUUUCUCAGGAUUCUGUUUGUCCAGUUUUAUAAAAAUGCCUUUGGGAAGCACCACUCAAAAGCCACCAUGGCUUUCCCCAAGAUGGAUCCAUAGCUCCGGUAAUUCUGGCAAUGGUCAUGAGCAGGCGCUUUGCAUGGAGCAAGUGUUACACACAUGCCUAAUUCUCUAAAACAAUUACAGACAGCACCAGUAACAUCCCUGCUGUUCUACCUAGAAGGAGAGAAAAUGUUUUAAUCAGGUCGUUAACAUUAAAUAUGUGCCAAGUAUUGCUACAGCCAAACUUCCAAAUGUAUGGGAUGCUGACAUGAAUCUCCACAAAAGGUUAUUGGGACAUUAAGGUUCCAUGUAAAGAUUCAAGGAGAGAGUGCAUCUGAAAUGCAAAAUCUACUUUCAAAAUCUGUAUAGAUAUUUAGAGGCUUCCCCAAAUAUCACAUCUCCUUAGGUCUAGCUGAAGUCAAUCACAGAGGUUCACAGUAUUCAGCUGAGCUUCCUGGACAUCGGUGGGAUUUUUCAGACCUCUUCACUUCUCAGAAAAAG
rnacentral:lncRNA from 1 species